UACAGAGGGGGCAAGCGUUGUUCGGAAUUACUGGGCGUAAAGCGUGCGUAGUCGGUUAUCUAAGUCGGGUGUGAAAUCCCCGGGCUCAACCUGGGAAUUGCAUUCGAUACUGGAUAGCUAGAGUUCGGCAGAGGGAAGCGGAAUUUCGGGUGUAGCGGUGAAAUGCGUAGAUAUCCGAAGGAACAUCAGUGGCGAAAGCGGCUUCCUGGACCAGAACUGACGAUCAGGCACGAAAGCGUGGGGAGCAAACAGGG
rnacentral:rRNA from 1 species